rnacentral:rRNA from 1 species
UGGGGAAUAUUGGACAAUGGGCGAAAGCCUGAUCCAGCAAUGCCGCGUGAGUGAUGAAGGCCUUAGGGUUGUAAAGCUCUUUUACCCGGGAUGAUAAUGACAGUACCGGGAGAAUAAGCCUCGGCUAACUCCGUGCCAGCAGCCGCGGUAAUACGGAGGGGGCUAGCGUUGUUCGGAAUUACUGGGCGUAAAGCGCACGUAGGCGGCUUUGCAAGUCAGAGGUGAAAGCCCGGGGCUCAACCCCGGAAUAGCCUUUGAGACUGCAUCGCUUGAACAUCGGAGAGGUAAGUGGAAUUCCGAGUGUAGAGGUGAAAUUCGUAGAUAUUCGGAAGAACACCAGUGGCGAAGGCGACUUACUGGACGAUUGUUGACGCUGAGGUGCGAAAGCGUGGGGAGCAAACA